rfam:Drosophila simulans chromosome X, whole genome shotgun sequence.
CGAAAUCAUGCUAGAUCAUUAACAAGUAUCAUGUAAAUUGAAUUUUUGUAUAUAUCAAUUACAUGUUAUUCGUUCUUGAACUUAAUGGUUUUA